AAGCUGCGAUAAGUAAUGUGAAUUGCAGAACUCAGUGAAUCAUCGAGUCUUCGAACGCACAUUGCGCCCCCUGGUAUCCCGGGGGGCACGCCUGUCCGAGCGUCGUCGACACCCCCUUCAGGCCUCUGUGUGAGUGCCCGGCGUUGGGCCAUCACGCCCCCGCGUGGGCGGGCCCGCAAGCCUCCGACCGGCGGUCCCUCGGAGCCCCGAGCGCAGCGGCUGAACCUUGCUCGCGUAGGCACCCCGAGCCGAGACCCGGCGCGAACCCGACGCACCAUUGACCUCGGAUCAGGUGGGGCUACCCGCUGAACUUAA
rnacentral:misc_RNA from 1 species